UACGUAGGAUGCAAGCGUUGUCCGGAUUUACUGGGCGUAAAGCGCGCGCAGGCGGCACUCUAAGUACGUCGUGAAAUAUCCCGGCUCAACCGGGAGGGUGCGAUGUAGACUAGGGAGCUAGAGGUCGGUAGAGGGGGGUGGAAUUGCUGGUGUAGCGGUGAAAUGCGUAGAGAUCAGCAGGAACACCCAUGGCGAAGGCGGCCCCCUGGGCCGUACCUGACGCUGAGGCGCGAAAGCGUGGGGAGCGAUCCGG
rnacentral:rRNA from 1 species